GACGAACGCUGGCGGCGUGCCUAAUACAUGCAAGUAGAACGCUGAAGGAGGAGCUUGCUUCUCCGGAUGAGUUGCGAACGGGUGAGUAACGCGUAGGUAACCUGCCUGGUAGCGGGGGAUAACUAUUGGAAACGAUAGCUAAUACCGCAUAACAGUAGAUGUUGCAUGACAUUUGCUUAAAAGGUGCAAUUGCAUCACUACCAGAUGGACCUGCGUUGUAUUAGCUAGUUGGUGAGGUAACGGCUCACCAAGGCGACGAUACAUAGCCGACCUGAGAGGGUGAUCGGCCACACUGGGACUGAGACACGGCCCAGACUCCUACGGGAGGCAGCAGUAGGGAAUCUUCGGCAAUGGACGGAAGUCUGACCGAGCAACGCCGCGUGAGUGAAGAAGGUUUGCGGAUCGUAAAGCUCUGUUGUAAGAGAAGAACGAGUGUGAGAGUGGAAAGUUCACACUGUGACGGUAUCUUACCAGAAAGGGACGGCUAACUACGUG
rnacentral:rRNA from 1 species